rnacentral:tRNA from 1 species
GGUCUCGUGGCCGAGUGGUUAGGCAUUGGUCUGCAAAACCAGGUACAGCGGUUCGAAUCCGCUCGAGACCU